GUGAGUCAUCGAAUCUUUGAACGCAUAUUGCACUCUUUGGUUCUCCAGAGAGUAUGCCUGUUUGAGUAUCAUUAAUCUCUCUUUCCCCGCUAACGGGCGUUUACUCGCUCUGCAGUGGCGGCAAAGGAUUUGAGCACUCUAGUGCACCCCGAGCAGCUAGCUUGGAGCACAACAUUAUUUGUUUAGUGUGUGUGUGUGUGUCUGGUUGCUUGAAAUGAAGCGCGUGCUGUGCUUUGCCACAUUCACGACCGGCGUACUAGUUCUCCUCGGAGAUUCACUUUACGCCAUAUCAGGUCUGGA
rnacentral:misc_RNA from 1 species